rnacentral:other from 1 species
CGCUGGCCGAGACAUCACAGACUCGUCGACUUGGGGGAUUUUUGUGAGUCUGAGGGGUAAGCGCCGAGGCCUCUUCCCGUACCUGCUUUUCGCCUUAUCUGCUGCUCCUGACCCCGGGCCGUGUGCCUUCAGAUCAGUAAUCUCGGUGCGCUCGGGUGCUGCGGCCUGUGGCUGGAUUGCCUGUGACGUCCCGCCUGCCUGCUGACCAACUGGCCUACGGCGCCGCCGAGAUGAAGCUGUCCCUGGUGGCUGCGGUGCUGCUG